rnacentral:snRNA from 1 species
AUUAUAUAUGUAAUUAUGUAUAU